CCUACGGGAGGCUGCAGUGGGGAAUAUUGGACAAUGGGGGGAACCCUGAUCCAGCGACGCCGCGUGAGUGAAGAAGUAUUUCGGUAUGUAAAGCUCUAUCAGCAGGGAAGAAAGAAAUGACGGUACCUGACUAAGAAGCCCCGGCUAACUACGUGCCAGCAGCCGCGGUAAUACGUAGGGGGCAAGCGUUAUCCGGAUUUACUGGGUGUAAAGGGGGCGUAGACGGCGAUGCAAGUCUGAAGUGAAAGGCGGGGGCCCAACCUCCGGACUGCUUUGGAAACUGUAUGGCUGGAGUGCAGGAGAGGUAAGUGGAAUUCCUAGUGUAGCGGUGAAAUGCGUAGAUAUUAGGAGGAACACCAGUGGCGAAGGCGGCUUACUGGACUGUAACUGACGUUGAGGCUCGAAAGCGUGGGGAGCAAACAGGAUUAGAUACCCCAGUAGUC
rnacentral:rRNA from 1 species